CUCUCAUUCUGCCAGCAGAGUGACUGCAACAGCACCAAAGCCACUACAGUACACCGUCAUUGUAAAACAGAUAGGUUAAAUGUGACAACAUCCUCUGAAAACCUCAAAGAAACAAACCAAUAAGCAACAGGCACACGGCCCGAGACCCCUACAGCAUCUCAAUAUUCACUUCCUGCGUGGAAACUAUUUCAGUUCUGUGUGUAGGCACUCUGGUCAGGUUUAAUCUAACCAGUGUGUAAGUUGUACAGGCUGCCGGUUAUAAAUACUGACAUUCUUACAGUUUUAUUUUUGGAACGCAGAACAAGAUAACAAGACUGAAGAGCUGUAGAUUGUCACUAUUGGUAAAGCAGCUUGGGAAACCAUUUCAGAGAAUGUUGGCAGCAGAGUAACCCUGCAAUGUAGCAACGAGUCAAUCAGCACGCUCAACCAGUUGACGUGGAAGAUGAAUGGAGUUACCAUGUUCACUUUCAACCCUCUGGGAAACUUCUACGUCAGUCCACAAGCUACCAACCUGACCUUGAAAAUGUCUGAAUCACAGAGUCAGCUGUAUGCGCUCAUCAUAGAGAACGCUCAGCUCUAUCACACGGGAAACUACACUUGUGAAGUUACUUCCAUGAAGGACGGAGUCUUGGAUCAGAACUGGAGGCUGAUAAUUAAAGAAAGCACAGAAAUCUGGGACAUUCUGAUGAUAGCUACUGUUUCUUCUGUGUGUCUCCUGAUCUUUUUAAUUGGUUUGGUCAUUCUAAUAAGAUGCAACAAACGGCAUACAAGAAAUAGCAGGCCGUCUACCUCAGCAGAAGCGCAGCAGCCAACAGAAGAUAUUUAUGAAAACUGCCUGGAAAUUGAAC
ensembl:lncRNA